AGUUAGCAAAGCAUGGAAUGAAGGUUGUCCUUAUCAGCAGAUCAAAGGAUAAACUUGACCAGGUUUCCAGUGAAAUAAAAGAAAAAUUCAAAGUGGAGACAAGAACCAUUGCUGUUGACUUUGCAUCAGAAGAUAUUUAUGAUAAAAUUAAAACAGCCUUGGCUGGUCUUGAAAUCGGCAUCUUAGGUUGGGCUGGCUUAAAGCCCCAGCCCUCUAGUCACAGAGUUGGUCUUUCUGGUGUCCAACCCCCAUCCUGGGUCAUCUUGAUUCCACUACUGAGUAUAUAUCAAAAACGAAGAAACUCAAUAUAUUGAAGAGAUACCUGCACUCUAUGUUUAUCGCAGCACUAUUCACAGUAGCCAAAAUAUGGAAUCAGCCUAACAGUCUAUCAGCAGAUGAAUGGA
rnacentral:sRNA from 1 species